rnacentral:tRNA from 1 species
ACUAUUUUGGCAGAUUAGUGCAAUAAAUUUAGAAUUUAUAAAUAUAAUUUUAAUUAUUAUAAAUAGUA